rnacentral:rRNA from 1 species
GACGAACGCUGGCGGCGUGCUUAACACAUGCAAGUGGAGCGACGAACCAGGGCUUGCCCUGGGGCAAAGCCGCGAACGGGUGAGUAACACGUGGGUAACCUGCCCCGAAGACCGGGACAACCCGAGGAAACUCGGGCUAAUACCGGAUGUGGUCACUCUUCAUAAGGAGAGUGAGCAAAGGAAGCUUCGGCCUCCGCUUCGGGAUGGGCCCGCGGCCCCUUAGCUUGUUGGUGAGGUAACGGCUCACCAAGGCUUCGAUGGGUAGCUGGUCUGAGAGGACGAGCAGCCACACUGGGACUGAGACACGGCCCAGACUCCUACGGGAGGCAGCAGUGGGGAAUCUUGCGCAAUGGGCGACAGCCUGACGCAGCAACGCCGCGUGAGGGAAGAAGGCUUUCGGGUCGUAAACCUCUUUCAGGAGGGACGAAGCUUCGGGAGUGAAUAGCUUUCCGGAGUGACGGUACUUCCACAAGAAGCCCCGGCUAACUACGUGCCAGCCGCCGCCGUAA